rnacentral:rRNA from 1 species
GGUGGAUUAGUGGGCGAACGGGUGAGUAACACGUGAGUAACCUGCCCUUCACUCUGGGAUAACUCCGGGAAACCGGUGCUAAUACUGGAUAUGACUCCAACUCGCAUGGGUAUGGAGUGGAAAGCUUUUGUGGUGGAGGAUGGACUCGCGGCCUAUCAGCUUGUUGGUGGGGUAAUGGCCUACCAAGGCGACGACGGGUAGCCGGCCUGAGAGGGUGACCGGCCACACUGGGACUGAAACACGGCCCAAACUCCUACGGGAGGCAGCAGUGGGGAAUAUUGCACAAUGGGCGAAAGCCUGAUGCAGCGACGCCGCGUGAGGGAUGACGGCCUUCGGGUUGUAAACCUCUUUCAGCUCUGACGAAGCUUUAUCGUGACGGUAGGAGCAGAAGAAGCACCGGCUAACUACGUGCCAGCAGCCGCGGUAAUACGUAGGGUGCGAGCGUUGUCCGGAAUUAUUGGGCGUAAAGAGCUUGUAGGCGGUUUGUCGCGUCUGCUGUGAAAGCCCGGGGCUUAACCCCGGGUCUGCAGUGGGUACGGGCAGGCUAAAGUGUGGUAGGGGAGACUGGAAUUCCUGGUGUAGCGCUGGGAUGCGCAGAUAUCACGGAGAACACCGAUGGCGAAGGCAGGUCUCUGGGCCACUACUGACGCUGAGAAACGACACGUGUGGAGCGUACACGAUAAGAUACCCUGGGAGACCACGCCGCAAACGUUGGGCGCUACCUGUGGGUCGCAUACCACGGCGUUCGUGCCGCAGCUAAUGCAUUAUGCGCCCCCCCUGGGGAGUACGGCCGCAAGGCUAAACUCAAAGGAAUUGACCGGGGGUCGCUCAAGCGGCGGAGCAUGCGGAUUAAUUCUAUUCUAUGCCGAAGAACAUUACCAAGCUUGGCUUGUACCGGAAACCUACCAGAUGGGGGGCCCGCAAGGCGGGUAUCAUGUGUGGAUGGUUGCGUCAACUUCUGUCGGAGAUGUAUGGAUUAAGUCCC